rnacentral:rRNA from 1 species
UACAGAGGGGGCAAGCGUUAUUCGGAAUUAUUGGGCCUAAAGGGCGCGUAGUCGGCCUGGCAAGUGGAAGGUGAAAUCCCUCGGCUUAACCGAGGAACUGCCCUCCAAACUGCUUGGCUUGAGUCCGGGAGAGGUGAGUGGAAUUCCCAGUGUAGCGGUGAAAUGCGUAGAUAUUGGGAGGAACACCAGUGGCGAAGGCGGCUCACUGGACCGGAACUGACGCUGAGGCGCGAAAGCGUGGGGAGCGAACAGG